AAUUGGAAACAAUGCUCUCUCCUUUUUUCUAUUUUCAGACAAUUUUUAACAAAAACUAGGAUGAUGGAAAAGUCAUAUAGUGAAUAAUUAUUAAUGUUGAACGGUAUAUAACAUCUGUUUGGCAUUUUAAAUGUUCAUUCAUUAAUUUGGUUUCAUGCGAACGUAAAGAUACCUGGAUCAGAAUUAAUAUUAGUUGUAAAACUUGAAAACUGCACAGUGUCUAUCACUGAAAACAGGUCAAUAAUUAUUUUAUUAUUUCCUGAAAGAUUUCGAGCAGCCUAUGGAUGGAUUGGGCUCAGUUUCCAGGGACCCGGUUUCCAGUGGACGGACGGCACUACUUUAGGAACGCAAUUCUGGGUACCUAAAGGUCCUUCAAAGCCCCUAAGUAAUUAUCUGGGCGUUAGAAUGGACGUCAAGUCGGGAACCUGGGAUAAUAUUCGUCCUAAGAAAAGGACGAAAUUUAUCUGUGAAGAAAAAGAACCACUGGAUCCAUCUAUAAAUACUACUAAAACACAGUUUCAUAAAAUGGAACACAACCAAAUCCACUGCCUCCUUCGUGAGAGGUUUAAAGGGACGACUCCACUCCUACUCUGAGGAUGUUGUUCUGGAAGACUGCCUGCUGAGAUGUACAGAGGACGAGCAGUGUGUUUGUGCCGUGUUUAUCGAUUAUUCUGAGGGUUUAGUCAGCAAUUAUUGCAUUUUGCACAAAGAUAACUAAUAUAAGACAUCUUGCUGUGAAAAAAAUAAUAUCGGUUAGCCGUGUCCUAGUUAAUUACCAUCGGACUGGACUAUUUAAUUACCUGUGGACUAGUUAGUUAUCGUUCGACUAUUAAUUAACCAUGGAAUGUUGUUACCAGCGAACUAUUACUAUAGUAAUAAAAAAAUCUUUUUUGUAAAUAAUUUCAGUUUGGUUUGACAUAAGAAGAAAAGUAAAAGUGUUUUGGAAAUAACAAAAAACCACACUAUUUUUUGUGUCCAAUGUAGAAA